rnacentral:tRNA from 1 species
ACGCUUGUGGUGGAAUUGGUAGACACGCUACCUUGAGGGGGUAGUGACUUUCGGGUCUUGCGAGUUCAACUCUCGCCAAGCGUACCA